GUGCCAGCAGCCGCUGUAAUACCGGCAGCCCGAGUGAUGACCGAUCUUAUUGGGCCUAAAGCGUCCGUAGCUGGGUCUGAAAGUCCAUCGGGAAAUCCACUCGCUCAACGAGUGGCCGUCCGGUGGAAACUCCACACCUUGGGACCGGAAGGCUCGAAGGGUACGGCCGGGGUAGGAGUGAAAUCCUGUAAUCCCGUCCGGACCACCGAUGGCGAAAGCACUUCGAGAAAACGGAGCCGACAGUGGGGGACGAAAGCUAAGAUCGCGAACCGGAUUAGAGACCCCGUAGUCC
rnacentral:rRNA from 1 species